UGCUCCUCCAGCCAAGGCAGGCCCACUAUGUUUCCGGUGACAGCAAGCGGGGCACAUUAGGAGCAACCCAGAACCGUUCUAGCCCUCCAGCACUCAGGGCCACAGCCCACUGCCUGGAGGCUGAAAGAUCACCCCCCUGAAAUACCUCCAAUAGUAUACCAGAAAAAUCCUAGGGGGUUCUACCUGAAGUGGAUCCAGUUCAAGCAGCCACCAUGAACAACCGGCAACAACAUCGACAACUGGUCCUAGUGAAUGAUCACACUGCUCGUGGACUUCAGGAUACGGGAGCUACCUUGACUUUAAUGGAAUGACACUUAGUUUGGGACAUUGGACAGUCUGUGGCAGUUUGGGUAUUUACAGGCUACCUACCGCCCAGGUUCACCUGGACUGGGGAGCUGGAUCCGGCACGGUAAAUGAUUUGGGACCUAUUACUGCAGCUUAUGUUGCCCAGAGCACUGCAAAAGCUCAUCCAGUCACCACCCGACUGCAAGCGCGAACUGCGGAGGCUGGCUGUUG